GUGUAGCGGUGGAAUGCGCAGAUAUCAGGAGGAACACCGAUGGCGAAGGCAGGUCUCUGGGCAGUAACUGACGCUGAGGAGCGAAAGCAUGGGGAGCGAACAGGAUUAGAUACCCUGGUAGUCCAUGCCGUAAACGGUGGGCGCUAGGUGUGAGUCCCUUCCACGGGGUUCGUGCCGUAGCUAACGCAUUAAGCGCCCCGCCUGGGGAGUACGGCCGCAAGGCUAAAACUCAAAGGAAUUGACGGGGGCCCGCACAAGCGGCGGAGCAUGUGGAUUAAUUCGAUGCAACGCGAAGAACCUUACCUGGGCUUGACAUACACCAGAUCGCCGUAGAGAUACGGUUUCCCUUUGUGGUUGGUGUACAGGUGGUGCAUGGUUGUCGUCAGCUCGUGUCGUGAGAUGUUGGGUUAAGUCCCGCAACGAGCGCAACCCUUGUCUUAUGUUGCCAGCACGGUAUGGUGGGGACUCGUGAGAGACUGCCGGGGUUAACUCGGAGGAAGGUGGGGAUGACGUCAAAUCAUCAUGCCCCUUAUGUCCAGGGCUUCACACAUGCUACAAUGGUCGGUACAACGCGCAUGCGAGCCUGUGAGGGUGAGCGAAUCGCUGUAAAGCCGGUCGUAGUUCGGAUUGGGGUCUGCAACUCGACCCCAUGAAGUCGGAGUCGCUAGU
rnacentral:rRNA from 1 species